rfam:Camelus ferus unplaced genomic scaffold scaffold854, whole genome shotgun sequence.
GAGGGUAUAGCUCAGUGGUAGAGUGCAUGCUUAGCAUGCAUGAGGUCCUGGGUUCAAUCCCCAGUACCUCCA